GACAGAGGUGCCGAGCGUUAGGCGGAAUCACUGGGCUUAAAGCGUGUGUAGGCGGACCGUUAAGUACCUUGUGAAAUCCCACGGCUCAACCGUGGAACGGCUGGGUAUACUGGCGGUCUUGGGCCACCUAGGGGCAGCCGGAACAAGCGGUGGAGCGGUGAAAUGCGUAGAUAUCGCUUGGAACGCCGACGGCGAAAGCAGGCUGCUGGGGGUGUGCCGACGCUGAGACACGAAAGCCAGGGGAGCGAACGGGAUUAGAAACCCCCGUAGUCC
rnacentral:rRNA from 1 species